rnacentral:rRNA from 1 species
UCGAGAAUCUUCCGCAAUGGGCGCAAGCCUGACGGAGCAAUGCCGCGUGAAGGAUGAAGGUCUUUGGAUUGUAAACUUCUGUCACCGGGGAUGAAUAAUGACAGUACCCGGGAAGGAAGCCACGGCUAACUACGUGCCAGCAGCCGCGGUAAUACGUAGGUGGCGAGCGUUGUUCGGAAUUAUUGGGCGUAAAGGGUUCGUAGGAGGUUUUUUAAGAUUGAUGUGAAAUCCCAAGGCUCAACCCUGGAACUGCAUUGAUGACUGAGGAACUAGAGUAUCGUAGAGGAGAGCGGAAUUCCAGGUGUAGCGGUGGAAUGCGUAGAUAUCUGGAAGAACACCGACAGCGAAGGCAGCUCUCUGGGCGAAAACUGACUCUGAGGAACGAAAGCGUGGGUAGCAAACA